UGAUUCUUAGUGGCGAACGGGUGAGUAACGCGUAGACAACCUGCCUUCUAGAUGGGGACAACACUGCGAAAGUGGUGCUAAUACCGAAUGUUGUAUUAAGCCUGCAUGGGCUUGAUACUAAAGGUGGCCUCUAUUUAUAAGCUAUCACUAGAAGAUGGGUCUGCGUCUGAUUAGCUAGUUGGUGAGGUAAUGGCUCACCAAGGCGAUGAUCAGUAGCCGGUCUGAGAGGAUGAACGGCCACACUGGGACUGAGACACGGCCCAGACUCCUACGGGAGGCAGCAGUGGGGAAUCUUCCGCAAUGGACGAAAGUCUGACGGAGCAACGCCGCGUGAGUGAAGAAGGUUUUCGGAUCGUAAAGCUCUGUCUUUGAGGACGAAUGUGUCUAAUGUGAAUAAUGUUAGAUAAUGACGGUACUCGAGGAGGAAGCCACGGCUAACUACGUGCCAGC
rnacentral:rRNA from 1 species